rnacentral:lncRNA from 1 species
GAGGGAGAAGCAGGCUCCAUGCACCGGGAGCCCGACGUGGGAUUCGAUCCCGGGUCUCCAGGAUCGCGCCCUGGGCCAAAGGCAGGCGCCGAACCGCCGCGCCACCAGGGCUCCCGAAGCUUUGGCUGUCGCCCCAUGUCUCGGGAGGAAGGCCACGAGGCGGUUCGCCGUCUGCCCACGUGGGCUGGGUGCGGGCCCCACGCGCUGGGCGAAGCCUGCGCCGCCCCUUCCCUCGUCCCUGCGGGCUCCCGAGGCUCGGAGCCGCCGGCCUGGCGCGGGGGGUGAAGGCACCGGCCGGGACCGAGGGGCUGGAAGGCGGUCCCGCCAGGGAUCCUGCUCGGCCCUACAAACAGCCUUGCCUACGGUUGUCAAAAACACAUUUCCCGGCCCUGGUGUCUCGAAGCCAAAGCCCGCGGAAUCCAACAACCAGGAAUUCUAAUUCCAACAGGCGUCUUUGGGGCACUUCUGGUGUUUUGAAGACGAAGCGGAGACUCAGGGCCAGGAAGAGGGUACGUGGCAAAUCCGGCAAUGAGGAAGAAGCUUUCCAGACAUUUCCCUACAGAAAUGCAUCACCCCACAGGGUUGGGAGAACAGCCAUAGUAAGUGCUAUAGACCCUUGCAGCGUUACCCCCAAAGUACCCUGACUCUGAGGGGUGAGUGAUGGAGACCCUGGGAAAGCAGCCUCUUCACCGGACGCUAAGACUAUGUCAAGAGUUCUGUGGAUUUAACUUCUCAUCCCAUGAUACGCCUGGGUUUGUUUUAAAAUAUAGAAAAUAAUGUUUUAAAAUAUUUUAUCAAUUAAAUUUUUUUAAAGAUUUUAUUUAUUUAUUCAUGAGAGACACACAGAGAGAGGCAAAGACACAGGCAGAGGGAGAAGCAGAUGUAACAGGGAGCCUGACGUGGGGCUUGAUCCCAGGAGCCUGGGAUGGUGACCUAAGCCAAAGGCAGACAUUCAACCACUGAGCCACCCAAGUGCCCCUAAAAUUAAGUUAUUUGGCUUCUCCUUCACAAUUUUCUGGGAAAUACAGGAUCAGGUCAGGAUCAGGAGGUCUUGGGGAACCUGACACAUUGCUGCCGUGCCCUGGGAAGCCUGAUCCCUGGCAUGAGAAAUAAGGUUCUAGGCCCGACAGCACCACCACUACCAGCCCACACCCCGAGAAUCAGGUCCACACACCAGAAAAAUAGUAGGUAGAUGGACUCUGGGUGGAAAGGAGGGAGCCAGGAAAGGAAGAGCUGAGAGUCCCACCCAGGUUCCAAAAUAUGCUGGAUUUUCAGAUGGUUCAAGCCUUUCAUUACACCCCUCUCUUCAGGGUGAACCCCCGUACUUCCCUCAGGCCCCUGGGCUGAUCCCAGGUUUUGUAACGGCUGCUCCACCCAUUAGAUCAACCUUUCUACUUGCUUCUGAAGAAAUGCCGUGAGCUGUGCAUCAGCAAAAGGGACCAAAGGGUCCUCCCACAUCAUCCUACGUCAGUUUGGAUGAAUUGCCCGUGAAGUUCAUGUCCCUUUAUCUGUUUUGCAUAAUCAAUGCAGUUUUUCACUUGCUGAGCCAACACGACAGUCCCAGCCAAAUCAGCCAUCCACUGUUAUCUUUUUAGAAUAAACUUCAAAUAAUGAAGUACUCUUGUUUUUCU